rnacentral:rRNA from 1 species
GCAUAUCAAUAAGCGGAGGAAAAAGAAACCAACAGGGAUUGCCUCAGUAACGGCGAGUGAAGCGGCAACAGCUCAAAUUUGAAAUCUGGCCGCAAGGUCCGAGUUGUAAUUUGUAGAGGAUGCUUUUGGCGAGGUGCCUUCCGAGUUCCCUGGAACGGGACGCCAUAGAGGGUGAGAGCCCCGUACGGUCGUGCCACCGAGCCUCUGUAAAGCUCCUUCGACGAGUCGAGUAGUUUGGGAAUGCUGCUCUAAAUGGGAGGUGUACGUCUUCUAAAGCUAAAUACCGGCCAGAGACCGAUAGCGCACAAGUAGAGUGAUCGAAAGAUGAAAAGCACUUUGAAAAGAGGGUUAAAAAGUACGUGAAAUUGUUGAAAGGGAAGCAUUCAUGACCAGACUUGGGCUUGGUUGAACAUCCGGCGUUCUCGCCGGUGCACUCUGCCAGCUCAGGCCAGCAUCAGUUUGCCCCGGGGGAUAAAGGCGGCGGGAAUGUGGCUCCCCUCGGGGAGUGUUAUAGCCCGUCGUGCAAUGCCCUGGGGCGGACUGAGGUUCGCGCUUCGGCACGGAUGCUGGCGUAAUGGUCAUCAAUGACCCGUCUUGAAACACGGACCAAGGAGUCGUCUUCGUAUGCGAGUGUUCGGGUGUCAAACCCCUACGCGUAAUGAAAGUGAACGUAGGUGAGAGCUUCGGCGCAUCACCGACCGAUCCUGAUGUUCUCGGAUGGAUUUGAGUAAGAGCAUACGGGGCCGGACCCGAAAGAAGGUGAACUAUGCCUGUAUAGGGUGAAGCCAGAGGAAACUCUGGUGGAGGCUCGCAGCGGUUCUGACGUGCAAAUCGAUCGUCAAAUAUGGGCAUGGGGGGCGAAAGACUAAUCGAACCUUUCUAGUAGCUGGUUUCCGCCGA